AAGAGAAGCAGCUGGAUUAAAAGCUAGUGUGAACACACUGAUGUCUGAAAUACAGCGUUUAAAUAAAUUGUGCGCGGAGAGAAAAGAAGCUGAAGAUUCUUUGAGAAAGAAAUGGAAGAAGAUUGAAGAGUUUGAUGCUCGCAGAUCAGAGCUGGAAUCCAUUUAUAGUGCCUUACUAAAGGCAAGCAUGGAUGCUGCAGCAUUUUGGGGUCAGCAGCCAUUAGCUGCAAAGGAGUAUUCAUCGAGUACUA
rnacentral:misc_RNA from 1 species